GACAAGCUAAAGAUGUUGUUUAAUUCAGGCAACCUUUGUGCUGACGUAGGAAGUUCCUCUAGUUAUUCGCCUGAUUUGGUUACAGUGAACUCUUGCCUAGAUGGUGUGGAAAUUCUAAUCAGCAGCUUCAAAGAGGAAGGGUUUCUCCUCUCCAAAGUGCUUACAGAAUUACUAGGGAGAGGGCUUAAUGUUACUAGCUGCGCUUCUACAAAAGAAA
rnacentral:lncRNA from 1 species